rnacentral:rRNA from 1 species
UAACAAGGAUUCCCCUAGUAACUGCGAGUGAAGCGGGAUGAGCUCAAAUUUAAAAUCUGUCAGCUUUCGCUGUCCGAGUUGUAAUCUAGAGAAGCAUUUUCUGUGAUGGACCGUGUACAAGUUUCUUGGAAUAGAACUUCAUAGAGGGUGAGAAUCCCGUCCAUGACACGGACUACCGUUACUUUGUGAUAUGCUCUCAAAGAGUCGAGUUGUUUGGGAAUGCAGCUCAAAAUGGGUGGUAAGUUCCAUCUAAAGCUAAAUAUUGGCGAGAGACCGAUAGCGAACAAGUACCGUGAGGGAAAGAUGAAAAGCACUUUGGAAAGAGAGUUAAACAGUACGUGAAAUUGUUGAAAGGGAAACGCUUGAAGUCAGUCGCGUUGCUUAGGACUCAGCCUUGCUAUUGCUUGGUGUACUUCCUAUGUAACGGGUCAACAUCAAUUUUGGUUGGUGGAUAAAGGUUGAGGGAAUGUGGCAUCUUAGGAUGUGUUAUAGCCUUCUUCCGUAUACACUGGCUGGGAUUGAGGUCUGCAGCACGCCUUUAUGGCCGGGGUUCGCCCACGUAUCGUGCUUAGGAUGUUGGCAUAAUGGCUUUAAGCGACCCGUCUUGAAACACGGACCAAGGAGUCUAACAUGCUUGCGAGUAUUAGAGUGGAAAACUCUUGUGCGUAAUGAAAGUGAAAGUUGGGACUCUUCGCGGAGGCACCGACGCCCGGCUCUGAAGUUUACUGACGAUGCUGCGGUAGAGCACGUAUGUUGGGACCCGAAAGAUGGUGAACUAUGCCUGAAUAGGGUGAAGCCAGGGGAAACUCUGGUGGAGGCUCGUAGCGAUUCUGACGUGCAAAUCGAUCGUCAAAUUUGGG